rnacentral:rRNA from 1 species
GAAGACCGCGUGGUGCAAGCGCGGAUCCAGUCGCUGCUGCGCCGACUUGAUCAGUUGACUAUGGCCGAUGGGGAGGACGUGUCAUCGUUCUCUCGACGCCUUACCACCCUGGUGGGCGAGAUCAGGUCUUUGGGAGAGAAGGUAACAGAGAGGACAGUUGUUCAGAGUUUGUUUGCAGCGAUGCCGAGGCGUUUCUCGCAGAUCAUUGGCACUAUUGAGCAGUGGGCGGACAUGAGCAAGAUGACGGUAGCUGAGGCAGUGGUCCGUCUGCAUACGUUUGAGGAAACCGAGUCUGACCGCUAUGAUGGUCGCGGCAGCAAGGAUGAUCAACUGUUGCUUAUGACCAAGGCCCUUGAGUCCUUUUUCCAGAAGAAGAAAGGCAGUCCCGGCGCCGGCGGAAGCGGCAGUAAGGGGAAGCCGAACCAGGGUCAAUGUCCUGGAAACAGUGCCGCCGGUGGUAGCGGUAGUGGUGGCGGCAAGAAGGGCAACAACAACGGUGGGAAGCAAAAAGAAACACCGUAA